GACGAACGCUGGCGGCGCGCCUAACACAUGCAAGUCGAACGAGCGAGCGAGAGCUUGCUUUCUUGAGCGAGUGGCGAACGGGUGAGUAACGCGUGAGGAACCUGCCUCAAAGAGGGGGACAACAGUUGGAAACGACUGCUAAUACCGCAUAAGCCCACGACCCGGCCUCGGGUUGAGGGAAAAGGAGCCAUCCGCUUUGGGAUGGCCUCGCGUCCGAUUAGCUGGUUGGUGUGGUAACGGCCCACCAAGGCGACGAUCGGUAGCCGGACUGGGAGGUUGAACGGCGACAUUGGGAGUGAGACACGGCCGAGACUCCUACGGGAGGCAGCAGUGGGGAAUAGUGCACAAUGGGGGGAAUGCGGAUGCAGCGACGCCGCGUGGAGGAAGAAGGUAGUCGGAUUGGAAACUCCUGUUGUUGAGGAAGAUAAUGACGGUACUCAACAAGGAAGUGACGGCUAACUACGUG
rnacentral:rRNA from 1 species